UACGUAGGUGACAAGCGUUGUCCGGAUUUACUGGGCGUAAAGAGCGCGCAGGCGGUCGAUCAAGUCGAGUGUGAAAGCCCCCGGCUCAACUGGGGAGGGUCAUUCGAUACUGAUCGACUCGAAGGCAGGAGAGGGUAGUGGAAUUCCCGGUGUAGUGGUGAAAUGCGUAGAUAUCGGGAGGAACACCUGAGGCGAGGGCGGGCUACUGGGCCGAUACUGACGCUGAUGCGCGAAAGCCAGGGGAGCGAACGGG
rnacentral:rRNA from 1 species